CCUAAGACAUGCAAGUCGAACGAAGUGGCCCAUUGAAGAUGGAGUGCUUGCACAAAGUCAGAUUUGGUUACCACUUAGUGGCAGACGGGUGAGUAACACGUGGGUAACCUACCUCAAAAGACUGGGACAACAGUUGGAAACGACUGCUAAUACCGGAUAAUCCAUAUUUAGAUAACUAGAUAUGUUAAAAGAAGCGUUUGCUUCACUUUGAGAUGGGCUUGCGGCGCAUUAGAUAGUUGGUGGGGUAAUGGCCUACCAAGUCGACGAUGCGUAUCCGAGCUGAGAGGCUGAUCGGACACACUGGGACUGAGACACGGCCCAGACUCCUACGGGAGACAGCAGUUAGGAAUAUUCGUCAAGUGGGGGAAACCCUGAACGAGCAAUGCCGCGUGAGUGAUGAAGGCCCUAUGGGUCGUAAAACUCUGUUAUAAGGGAAGAAACCUUGGUAUAGGAGAUGAUAUCAAGCUGACGGUACCUUAUCAGAAAGCCCCGGCUAACUACGUG
rnacentral:rRNA from 1 species